CCCACCUCCUCUCCCCAUUCCUCCAUCUCCACCCUCAGAUUAACACCAAUACCCAAUCCCAACCCAUCUUCUAUUCAGUCAUAAAAAAAAACCCAUCUCCGAUUCCACUCUCUCUGACCUCCAAAUCCUCUUCGUCUCUAAGCUCGGCAAGCUCAUCAAAUCCGGUGAGUCCCGACGUCAAAACAAACCAAGGACCAAGCAUCCCUCUCUCUCUCUCUCUCUCUCUCUCUCUCCUUCUCUCUUUCACUCUGGAAAGCUCGACUUCCGGCCAUCGACUUUUGGCACAGCCACCACCACCACCAAAAGAUAGCCUAGUUCUAGUUUUGAUUUGGCUAUCAGAUAAUCUCUCUCUCUUCUUUAUCAGAUUUCAAAACCAAAAUGAAGAAGGAGCCCUCGUCAAAAUUACAAAACCUAAACUGAAGUCGCCAUCUCUCUCUCUCUCUCUCUCUCUCUCUGGCACGGGCCCUCUCCCUCUCAGCCUCUCUCCUCGACGGUUCGAUUUCUUUUACAACAAAAAGAAUGACUAGAGCUUUUGGGAACCCAUUAAUCUUACACAAGUUAAUUGAGGCUAUCCAGUUCAAAAGAUAAAGAAGCUCAAGAGCUCUGGUUUUGUUAACUGGUACUUGAGAGAGGGGAUUGUGGUGUUUAAACAACAAUUUUGCCUAGCUUUGUACUAUUUCUGAAUAUCUCAAAAAUUUCAGCAUUAUAUUUGUAUCGGUAUGUUCAUGAAAUUAUGGUCAUGGGUUAUUACAAUCUGUUGAGAGAUUGUGUUCUUUUGUUAAAAGUCUUUCUACUAAAGGUUUUCUCAAAUAUUGCCUUAAAGUGGAUUGGUGGCGGGGGCUGUCUCAUGCUCUGUAACUCAUUCAUGGGUUGUUAGUCUUCAUAAGAUGACAAGUUAGAACCCCUUGGCAAAGCUAGGGAAAUACUUAAAUUUGCAAGAGCUCAAGUAUGGAAGCAGGCUCCCAAUUUCAAACAUCCAUUGGUUUACAUUGAUGUUGUUGAAGAAGCUAUUGCAGGAAGCUGAAGAAUUUGAAUGACUUCUACGUGCUGACACAUGCAAGAGCUUGGUGCACAUCUUCUUUGCUCAAUGUGGAACAUCAAAGGUUUGACAAUUAGCUUCUAAUUAGUCAUAUUCUUUUGUAAAUCUCUCUGUACAUGUAGUUUUGGCAUAUUAAUGGUAUGAUAACCGUUACUAGUUCAUUGUCAUUAUUUGAUAGCCUAAGAAAAGGUGACACUACCACACUCUAAAUUGAAAACUGUUUUUAGCCUCAAGAAUCUGGACCACCCUUUCUCUAACACACUUGUUGAGUUAAAGGUGAGGUUUACUGUCCUUUAAUAUUAAAGCUUGUACUUAGUAUCUUAUUUUGAGCUGUGUUAAAGCUUUAUCUUUGGUAUUUGGUAGUUCUGUUCCUUCUAGAACCUCUAUCUUUCUUGAAAUUCUAAUUGACUAUGAUUGUUAGUAUUCUUUAUUUCUGUGGCAGAAUGAUGGCUAAGUAGUCAGAUUUCAAUUUUGGGGUCCAACCAAUUUUGUGGUCAAAGUCUUUUAGUUAUAUCUCUUCUCAAUAUGUUCGAGCAAUAUAUGAGCUAUGAAGCAAGUUCUAUUUGCACAAAGGAAGAGAUUUCUUAUUUGUAACAGAACUGUGAUCAAACUCUUUGAUUGACAACCAAUAUGUUGCUCUAAUGUCAGAGUGGUUCAUGAUUAAAAUGUAAAUUUCUGUUAGCACUAUUGGACUCUUCUUCACUGCAGUUGCGCUUCAUUUUAGGUGUGCUACUCAUGGUGGGUUCUAUCUAGUUUGAUCAUGAUUGAUAGAGUUCAUUGGAUCAAUAAGGAAAAGCUUGCCAAGUUCAUUGGAUCAAUAAGGAAAAGCUUGCCAAGUUCAUUUUAGACUGUCUGAUUUUACAUAACCUAUUUGUACAUUUGGAAUAUUCUUGAGGAGUUUCCAAAGUGAAAUUUUAAUUGUGACUGAAUUUUUAUGAGUUGUGGUUAAUUAUUAAAAAUUGCAGGACAUUGAAAAUGGAGGAAGACAGACCAGAUGAUGCAUGUGAUGCCUACCAUACAUACUUUAGUGUAGCAGGUAUAAUAGUAAAUGCCCAGUUGGAGCCUCUGCUUUUACAUAAGAUGCAUAUAACAUGAAAUGUUUACAUAAGAAGAUUUAAAUUCCACAUGUACUUUUCCUUCUAUAAGUAUCUCUUGGCAAGAUGAGAUUGGAUCUAAGCAAAAGAAUAACUUCCCAUAUAUAUCUAACAUGUCAGGGUUGUGUAGAAUUUAACUAUUUAUCUUUGGUAUUUGCUGUUUGUAUGCCGCUGUUUUCAUCACAUAACUGAGGUUGAUGCUUUUUGAUGCAAGGCUUUCCCUCCAUGAAUAUCUAGUGGUGUAACCCACAAAUCCAGCUUAUGCUUUGCCAGUUGAUGUUGUAAAUAUGAUUAUCUUAGCAGGCAUAAAGGAGUAAAGGCUUAAAGCUGUUGGUGCAUUGUUUUCACUUAUUUGUGAGGUGUAGGCAGGGUUAAUGUGCAUCACAUUUAUGGACAAGUAUAAGUUUAUGGUUAGUGUUUUAUGGUUAGGGUUAAUGUUGGGAUGGAAUGACUUUGUUGAAUAUAUGGAUUAAUGUAUCAGAUCUUUACAUAAAUGAAUCUCUU